rnacentral:rRNA from 1 species
UACGUAGGGGGCAAGCGUUGUCCGGAUUUAUUGGGCGUAAAGGGCGUGUAGGCGGCCAGAUAGGUCCGUUGUGAAAACUGGAGGCUUAACCUCCAGCUGUCGAUGGAAACCAUCUGGCUAGAGUCCGGAAGAGGCGAGUGGAAUUCCUGGUGUAGCGGUGGAAUGCGCAGAUAUCAGGAGGAACACCAAUAGCGAAGGCAGCUCGCUGGGACGUUACUGACACUGAGGCGCGAAAGCGUGGGGAGCGAACAGG